rnacentral:lncRNA from 1 species
AUGGGGGAGAUCGCGAACGUCAGGUCUUCCCAGUAUGAAAAUGUAAUAUUUUUCCAUCGACAGCCAUCAGUAUCAUUAAGCCCUGCACAACUACCGUGCUGUUUCCCAUUUAACAACAGAAAUAAAUGAUGCUCAACUGGGACCACUGGCUGAUGUGAUUUAUUUGUAGAAAACACAAUGCAAGGAGAGUACGAUAUACAUAUGUUACACUGGUGCCGUGACUCUUCGAGACCCGGCUUCAAGAAGUACUGCGGUUGCUGAUGCACGGCAGAGGCCUAGGUUUCGAUUUCUGCACAAGUGGAAUUCUCAGGGAGCUCCUGGUAGCAUGAGUGAGUGGGGGAAAUAUAAUAUACUGUUUAUUACUUAUAUGUGGUGAUGGUAUGAUUAUUUAGUGAUGUAAUUGUGCUGUUAAGCUAGUAACCUUCCGAAGCCAAUUAACGUGAGGGCGACGCCAUUUUCUACCACACGGUGGAGACAACUAUUUAUGAAGGCGUUUCUUGUUACUUUUCUGUGUUGAUUCUUGGUCUUGUUAGACAACUACUUCUGAACUUUUAUUUUGAGUGCAUUAUGUUCAAGCUGGUUUUAUAGAAGUGUUCAUAUUGAUUGUGAUAUUUUUUUUUACUGAAUAUUUACAUUUAAAAAUUUUUUUUUUUGUUAUUUUAAAAAUGGAAGGUUUUGGGAGAGGUAUGGGAGUUCUCAUGUUUAACCCUUCACCACCAGUGGGUAGGGGAGCAGCUAUUUCUCCAGUUACUUCCACACCUCUGGCCAGGCCAACUGCACAGGCAAGUGUGCGCUUUCCACAUGAUUUAGAGCUACCUCAACUCAGUGCAUUCAAACCAGUUUCACCUAGUCCUAGGAAGGAGGAUGUGUCUAUGGAUUUCCUGGCGGCAUUGUUAAACAGAUAGGUUACUCCAUAGGUGAAAAUAUUGCCUCUUGUUUGGAAUCAAAGGCUAUGGGAGAUGAGGUGGGACAGAAAGUUGAUUAUGUUGGUGGUACCAAGGCUGGGGCCAGCUCUAGUCCAAAUGUAGUGGUGAAAAAUUAUGUCAGGGAACCAGUGUAUUUCAGGGGGGAUGGUUCAGAGGAAUGCAUGAGUGGGAGGAGACAAUGUUAGUGUACAUGCAGAAGAAGGGCUAUGGUGGGCAGGAGAGGUCAGAUUAAGUUUUGGGUAAGCUGUCAGGGUGGGCACGUGACGUGGUAAGAGUAAGCCUACGCAGUAACCCAGUUGACUCAAGCCAGGGCCCUAGACCGGUUUUUGACAUUCUGAAGCAUCACUUUAGCGACACAAUCAACUCUGACAUGCCCCUAGCUGAUGUUUAUUCUACGUUGCCAAUGGAAGGGGAGACUCCAUUUGAUUACUGGAUCAGACUGAACAGGGCCAUAGAGGUGGCAGAGUACUGUUUGAAGAGGCAGAACAAGGAGCUAGACAAUCCAUCACGUGUUCUGACUGUCAUGUUCAUCAAGCACUGUCCGAACCCAGAGCUGUCAUUGAUAUUCAUGUGCAAACCAUUGCAUGAGUGGACAGCGGCGGAGGUUCAUGGCAGGCUGGAGGAGUACCAGAGGAAGUGCAGGGCUCCACGUCCCUUGCGGCUGGCCCCACUGGUCACCACACUGACGCAGGAAGUAAGUAGGCCAGUGUCGGCUGUUGCAAACUGCCCGGACCCCUUGCAGCAGCCCACAAAUGGCUCAUCCGAGGCAUUGGAUCGUGUGAUGGGCAUGCUUGAACGGGUCUUGGAGCAGAGGCUACAGCAACCUGUAGGCGGCUAUGAUAAUCCUUUCCAAAGAAGGGCCCGGAGAAGGGAGAACCCGUCUUUGCAAUGUAAAGUGUGUGGGGAUGCGAAUCACAGCACAAUGGAUCAUUGUUAUUCUAACCACCUAUGCUUCCUCUGUUAUGUAGCUGGGCACACACGUCUAGAAUGUCCUCGCACUUCAUUGGUAACUCCCGUCGCUCCAUCAAACAGCAACACAACACAGCAGCAGGAAAACUAGCUGGCCCGGGGUGGGGGGAAGUGCUGGGCCUUGUGAGGUGCCCAAAUCAGAUAGUGGUGUAGAUUUAAACUCAAUAUAUUCAAGUGUUUGUGAUGAAGUCAAGUCGAACGAAAAACUCAUUAUGCAAAAUACACAGAGAGUGCUCCACAACGAUGAACUCUUCUAUACUAGUGUGUUACUGGGGGAUGUUAUAGACGUGAGUGCAAUGAUUGACAGCGGUUCUAUGGCAUGCACAUUGAGCUCAACAAUGGUACAACGCCUUGAGAAAGCAGGUGUGCUCAAGAGUGGCUCCCUCAGUCCGAUUGAAGUGGUGUUGGUUGGCUGCGGGAGGUUGAAGACCAAGCCUGUAGGCGUGUGUGAAUUGAAUCUGUCUGUGUAUGGCAGCAGUGUCUCUGUCCCUGUUCUAGUAGUGGAUGACCAACGUGAUGAGCUUAUCCUAGGCAGCAACGUGAUAAAACACCUCAUCAGGGAGCUGAAGACGACUGGUGACUUCUGGGAGGAGAUGUUAUCAUCUGAACACAAUGGAGAUGACAAACUGUUCCGUCUGCUGGCUAAUGUAGAGAGAUGGAAAUGGGCCGAAGUGCCAGAAAGAGUGGGCACAGUAAGGCUGAAACGGGUGGUCACAUUGGAGCCUAUGCAGGAACAUUUAGUCUGGGGCCGGCUGUGGAUGCCUCAAAAUGUAUCCGCGGGCAGUGCUGACGUUAUUGAGCCUACGAGGGCACGCUCAAGACCAAAAAACAUUCUAGUGGGGAGAACAGUAUCGACAUUGUGGAGCGAUGGCUGGGUCCCUGUCAAAGUUAUCAAUCCCUCACCAAAGCCAGUAACAGUGAGACGCAAUGCCAAGAUAGCGGACGUUUUUCCUUGCAUGGCAUUAGAGGACUUUGACACUGACUAUAUAGGUGGGCCCACUGUUGAACUGGUCCCCCUGGUGCAGCAGGUACACAACAUGGAUGACAAUCCAGACUUUGACAAUGGUAGUGGAGAUAGCUUGACCGUUGACAGUGCCGUCAAACCGCACAGAGUGACAAGUGAGGUGUUGCACGAGUUAGGGCUAGGUGACAUUGACAUUGAGUCCACUCAGUUGUCGCAACAGUGUAAGGCCAGGCUAAUUCAGCUUAUAGCCCGCUACGAGUCUAUCUUCUCCCGGCACAAACUAGAAUGCGGGAAGGCUACUGGAUAUGUCCAUCGCAUCAGACUCAGUGACAUUAAGCCUUUUAGGCUACCUUACCGUAGGCUCUCCCCUAACCAUUAUGACAAGCUCAGGCAGGCCUUGGAUGAGAUGGAAGAGCGAGAGAUAAUCAGGAAAUCCAGCAGUGAGUAUGCCUCCCCGCUCGUGCUGGUAUGGAAGAAGUCUGGUGAUCUGAGACUGUGUACAGACUUCCGAUGGCUCAAUGCUCGCACCGUGAAGGAUGCUCACCCUCUACCUCACCAAGCUGAUGCUCUGGAGGCCCUGGGUGGCAAUGCCUUCUUCUCUACAAUGGAUUUGACCUCAGGCUACUACAAUGUGGAGGUCCAUGAAGACGACAAGAAGUUUACAGCUUUCACUUCUCCUUUUGGGUUAUAUGAAUAUAACCGCCUCCACAAGGACUAUGCAACAGCCCAUCAUGAGGAUGAUGUUGAGCAUUUUUGGGGAUCAACAUUUUUCUAGCCUUCUAUGCUACCUGGACGAUGUGCUGGUUUUUGCCCCGACUGAAGAACUUGGAUUGCAACGCUUGGAGUCAGUUUUUGAGCGUCUCAAAGCCCAUAAUCUGAAAUUGUCUCCAAAGAAAUGUCAUUUCAUGAAGAGGUCAGUGCGGUUCUUAGGGCAUGUCAUCAGUGAAGGUGUGGCCACAGACCCAGAAAAAGUGAAGGCUAUUGGAGGGAUGACAGAGAAGGAUCUCAUGGAGGAUAACACGGAUGUGCUCUCCCAGGGGAAGAUUCGGUCCUUUCUCGGAAUGAUAGUCUAUUACCAGAAGUUCAUUGAGGGGUGCUCCACCAUCGCUAAGCCGCUGCAUGGGCUGACAACUGGGACGAAGGCACCACGUCAUGGGAAAGGCAAGAGGAAAAGAGGAAUACAUAGGAAACUCGCAGCAGACUGGACUGGUGAGUGCAAACAGGCCUUUAGUCAGUUGAAACAAGCUCUCCUCGAUCAGGUCAUGCUAGCCCACCCUGAUUUUAGUAGACCUUUCUUGCUGUCUGUAGACGCAUCUAGUAAUGGAUUAGGUGCUGUCCUCUCCCAGGUGCCAGAGGAUGGGUCUGCAGCCAGACCCGUAGCAUUCGCUAGCAAAUCACUUACUCAUGCACAGUCAAAGUAUCCUGCCCAUAGGUUAGAGUGUUUUGCUUUACGCUGGGCCGUCUGUGAGAAGUUUAGUCAUUGGCUAAGGGGCAAGCCUUUUACUGUAUGGACAGACAACAACCCAUUAACGUACGUCCUGUCCAAGCCCAAAUUGGACGCCUGUGAACAGAGAUGGGUUGCUAAACUCGCUCCAUUUGAGUUUGACAUCAAGUACAUCCCCGGUCCCAAAAAUGUCAUUGCUGAUGCACUCAGUAGACAGCCAUUUGUGCAGCCGAGCGCUUUCCACCGCAUCACAAGGGUUCCAUACAAGGGCUUGCUGGAAGAAGCUGCGGGAGUACGUGCUGAGAAGGUGAAAAUGUGUUCCGCUGGUCGAACCACCCAUUCGACCUCGAAAGCUGCUCACCGUCAAUUGAGGCAGAUGCCUGUGAAAUUGUCAUGGACUGCCAAACUACCUCCUAUCCUUCUCCUGGUUCUCUGUCAAAGAAACCGGUGUCAGCAGUCCUGAGGUCGCAAGGGGAGGCUGGUCAACAGAACUGUGCGCUGCUACUGCCUCAGCUCACUCAGUCACUGGUGCCAUCUGAGAUGUCAGAUGUGAGAGUGCUAUCCCGUGACGACCUGAUAUCAAAGCAGCGCCAGAGUUGUCUUCUACGUGGACAGGGGCCGUAGACCUUCUAGGAGGGAACGUGGCCAGGAACCACUCGAGGCUCUGUGGAUUCUGAAGACCUGGUAGAAGCUCACUCUGAAAAUGGGUGUACUAUAUCGCGUUACCAAAAGUUUGCUGUCAAAGAAGAAGACGUACCAGUAUGUAGUACCCACCUCAAUGAGGGCGACAGUUUUGAAGGGUGUCCACGAUGACGCCGGUCAUCAGGGGCAACAGAGGACGUUGUUCUUGACGAGACAGAGGUUCUUCUGGCAUGGUCUGGAGUCGGAUGUGAGAGAGUAUGUCAAGACCUGCAAGCGGUGUGUGUUCAGUAAGGCCCCCGAGCCAGAGGCCAGAGCUCCACUGGAGAACAUCAUCACGACUGAGCCCCUCGAGUUGGUGUGUGUGGACCUCUGGUCUGCUGAAGACUCCAACAACAAGUCCUUGGAUGUUCUGGUCGUCACUGAUCAUUUUACUAAGAUGGCGUCACUGAUCAUUUUACUAAGAGAACAACCUCUAUAUUGUUACGGAGAAGAAUAGUGACAUCCACAUCUUCAAGAUGCAGAACAUGUCGACUGGCCUGGAGAAAACGGUCCACUGUAAUCAGAUAAUGCCUAUAAACUUCUUGCCUCUCCCUGACACUGCCUUGGAGACACCUAAUACGGGUGACCGUGAGGAUCCGAGUGAGGAGAUGGAGGACUCAUCCAUGAACGAUAUACCAGAAAUGGACAUUGGUGAGAGGACUAGUGUGUGGGUAUCAGAACAGACCUCGGGGGAAGCACAGCCGGAGCACUCUGAAAAAGAAACCCCAGAUGUGCUGGAAGAUGGGCCACUGGCGAGGGACCCUCAGAACUCACCACAUUCUGAGGGUGCCACUGGUGGCACAAGCAUGUCAGAGCUAACCUUUUGGAGAAGAAAUGUCCGAAACCUCUGAAGAAGAAAGGCAUUCUGAAGAUGCCGCUGGUAGCACAAGCUCCAGCAACAGUCACAGAACCCUUGACCUUGACUAUCCACCGACUGUGGACAGUGACCCCCCAGUGGUGGUUGUAGGUGAACAGGUUAAACGUAAUAACUCUGUUAGGCCUGUCAGGUCAGCGGCUGGUCGGGUUAGGAAACGCCCAGUGAGACUCAUAGAGACUAUGCAGACACAGAGGGUUUUCAUACAGAAUUCAUUAGAAUACCUGUGUGGGUGUAGGAUUAGAAUCCAAGUCUGUAGCCCUUCUUUUUUUUUUUUACGUUCAAGAGACCCCAUGGAGGUCAUGGGUCAGAGGUCAAGUAGACCAAGGUUUUUCUGUCUGAGGUUCUUAUUGUCACUGAGUGUACUGGACAUGUAACAGGCAUGUUUUCCUACAGGGUCUUUGAAUUCCCCUAAUUCUCUUUAGAGAAUAGUCUUUGCACUGGAAUAUUUGGUGACAUAUGUAUUGCAAGGUAUUGCAUACCUCAUUUUGUUUCUUUAUAGUAUGCAAGUGUAAUUCAGCAGGGGAGAAUGUAACAGGGUUGGUUAUGUUUCCACUUGCCUCUAAAGAAAUGUGUAUUUAAUGUUCAAGAAUUCUUAUUGGUUGGUUCAACUCUGAUGAAAAUAAGGUGUGUUGUGAUUGGCUCCGCUUGCAGAUAGGGGGAGAUCGCGAACGUCAGGUCUUCCCAGUAUGAAAAUGUGAUGUAAGGGGUAGGUCACGUUCUGAAUACUGUUUUAGAUUUUAGAUUUUACAAUGUGUACAAGUUUGCUGUACGUUACAGAUUUAUACAUGUGUGGGUAUAUGGUACCUGUUAGGGAUUGAGGGUCUUUCUGGGAUGUGCUUUGGCAUAUGAUUGCUGUAAAUAAGUGUGUUAGCUAGCAUACACCGAUGUAAUGGUCACAUAAACCCACUGCUAACACAGUUGUCUUCAUGCUACAGAUUUUGCCAUCGACAGCCAUCAAUAUCGUUAAGCCCUGCACAACUAACGUGCUGUUUCCCAUUUAACAACAGAAAUAAAUGAU